rnacentral:rRNA from 1 species
GACGAACGCUGGCGGCGUGCUUAACACAUGCAAGUCGAGCGCUGAAGCCUGCUUUGGUGGGUGGAUGAGCGGCGAACGGGUGAGUAACACGUGGGUGACCUGCCCCCUACUCUGGGAUAAGCCUGGGAAACUGGGUCUAAUACCGGAUAUGACUGCCUGCUGCAUGGUGGGUGGUGGAAAGCUUUUGUGGUGGGGGAUGGGCCCGCGGCCUAUCAGCUUGUUGGUGGGGUGAUGGCCUACCAAGGCGGCGACGGGUAGCCGGCCUGAGAGGGCGACCGGUCACACUGGGACUGAGACACGGCCCAGACUCCUACGGGAGGCAGCAGUGGGGAAUAUUGCGCAAUGGGCGGAAGCCUGACGCAGCGACGCCGCGUGGGGGAUGACGGCCUUCGGGUUGUAAACCUCUUUCGACCGGGACGAAGGGUUUCUGACGGUACCGGUAGAAGAAGCACCGGCCAACUACGUGCCAGCCGCCGCA